UACGUAGGGCGCAAGCGUUGUCCGGAAUUAUUGGGCGUAAAGAGCUCGUAGGUGGUUUGUCGCGUCUGUUGUGAAAGCCCGGGGCUUAACUCCGGGUUUGCAGUGGAUACGGGCAGGCGUAGAGGCAGGUAGGGGAGAACGGAAUUCCCGGUGUAGCGGUGAAAUGCGCAGAUAUCGGGAGGAACACCGGUGGCGAAGGCGGUUCUCUGGGCCUGUACUGACGCUGAGGAGCGAAAGCGUGGGGAGCGAACAGG
rnacentral:rRNA from 1 species